rnacentral:rRNA from 1 species
AGUGAACGCUGGCGGUAUGCCUAACACAUGCAAGUCGAACGGCAGCACAGUAAGAGCUUGCUCUUACGGUUGGCGAGUGGCGGACGGUUGAGGAAUACAUCGGAAUCUACUUUUUCUUGGGGGAUAACGUAGGGAAACUUACGCUAAUACCGCAUACGACCUACGGGUGAAAGCAGGGGAUCUUCGGACCUUGCGCGAUUGAAUGAGCCGAUGUCGGAUUAGCUAGUUGGCGGGGUAAAGGCCCACCAAGGCGACGAUCCGUAGCUGGUCUGAGAGGAUGAUCAGCCACACUGGAACUGAGACACGGUCCAGACUCCUACGGGAGGCAGCAGUGGGGAAUAUUGGACAAUGGGCGAAAGCCUGAUCCAGCAAUACCGCGUGGGUGAAGAAGGCCUUCGGGUUGUAAAGCCCUUUUGUUGGGAAAGAAAAGCAGCAGGUUAAUACCCCGCUGUUCUGACGGUACCCAAAGAAUAAGCACCGGCUAACUUCGUG